rnacentral:rRNA from 1 species
GGACGGGUGAGUAAUGCCUAGGAAUCUGCCCGGUAGUGGGGGACAACGUUUCGAAAGGAACGCUAAUACCGCAUACGUCCUACGGGAGAAAGUGGGGGAUCUUCGGACCUCACGCUAUCGGAUGAGCCUAGGUCGGAUUAGCUAGUUGGUGAGGUAAUGGCUCACCAAGGCGACGAUCCGUAACUGGUCUGAGAGGAUGAUCAGUCACACUGGAACUGAGACACGGUCCAGACUCCUACGGGAGGCAGCAGUGGGGAAUAUUGGACAAUGGGCGAAAGCCUGAUCCAGCCAUGCCGCGUGUGUGAAGAAGGUCUUCGGAUUGUAAAGCACCUUAAGUUGGGAGGAAGGGCAGUAAGUUAAUACCUUGCUGUUUUGACGUUACCAACAGAAUAAGCACCGGCUAACUUCGUGCCAGCAGCCGCGGUAAUACGAAGGGUGCAAGCGUUAAUCGGAAUUACUGGGCGUAAAGCGCGCGUAGGUGGUUCAGCAAGUUGGAUGUGAAAGCCCCGGGCUCAACCUGGGAACUGCAUCCAAAACUACUGAGCUAGAGUACGGUAGAGGGUGGUGGAAUUUCCUGUGUAGCGGUGAAAUGCGUAGAUAUAGGAAGGAACACCAGUGGCGAAGGCGACCACCUGGACUGAUACUGACACCGAGGUGCGAAAGCGUGGGGAGCAAACAGGAUUAGAUACCCUGGUAGUCCACGCCGUAAACGAUGUCAACUAGCUGUUGGGUUCCUUGAGAACUUAGUAGCGCAGCUAACGCGAUAAGUUGACCGCCUGGGGAGUACGGCCGCAAGGUUAAAACUCAAAUGAAUUGACGGGGGCCCGCACAAGCGGUGGAGCAUGUGGUUUAAUUCGAAGCAACGCGAAGAACCUUACCUGGCCUUGACAU